GACGUUUCAUAUUCAAAUUUGUAUCCUUCACUUCAUCAUACAUCGUCCUGGUUUCACAAAUUUAUUGGUUCUUUUGUUUCGUUGACUGAAAUUCCCUUUUCAAGUCUUUUCCUGCGUCCUCCGGUUCUCUAAAUAUUUGUACACUUGGCAAUGCCUCAUUCCAUAUCUGAUCUACCUUUGCCUAUUUAGGAGGUCUCAUUAGCAAAAAGAGUAAAGUUUUGUUAGGUUUAUUGUUUCAGGGUUACAGUGGUCUCUUUGUCUUGAAAAGAAGCAACAAUUUUCUAGGAUCAAAAGAAAAUUGGAGCAUGUCUAGACAGUUGAAAUCCAUUUUAGGUCGACUUGACUGCAUAAAAAAAUUAUCCAAAGAAGGGAAUGCUAACAUGGGUUUCUGUGUGUGCAUGCCAGAUUCGCAUUGUUGCUGCUCAGGCUCUUACAACUAUGGCAGUCAGAUCUGGUGAGCCUUAUAGGCUCCAGAUCUAUGACUUUUUGCAUACUUUGGCUCACGGUGGUGUACAAUCUCAGUUUUCAGACAUGCAUACCAGUACUGGUGAAGAUCAGGGAGCAAGUGGUACUGGCCUUGGAUCUUUAAUAAGUCCAAUGCUUAAAGUCCUUGAUGAAAUGUAUAGUGCACAAGAUGAACUGAUAAAGAGAUGCGCAAUCAUGACAAUGCAAAGAAAGAAUGCUGUAUGAGACUCAUGAGAGGCUGUUAGAUCUCGUCUCGCUUUUUUGCUAUGUUUCAAGAGCAAAAUAUCUCCCUUUAGGCCCAACAAGGUGCUUUGUCCCAUCUGCUUUACCUCUUAGCUGAUGAUAUUGGAUUCUUACGGUCACCUGAUUGAUGAUAUGGAGACUUCAUUUCUGGAAAAAAGAGUUAGUUAUUUCUUACAAAAUUGGCAAGCAGAUCGAUAUCUAUCGCACUCGGCACAAUAUAAGCGCGUCAACGGGCUUCAAUGACCCUGCUGUUGCUACAGGGAUUUCUGAUCAUAUUUAUGAAACAUCCAAGCCAAGGGUUCCUGAUCUUUUUAUGAAACUGUCAAAACGAGGUCAGCGGAGCCAGAUGCACUUGAUGAUGACCUUGUUAAUUUUUGGGCUGCAAAUCUAGCUGAUGAUGGUGCACCUGCUAUGAACAGGGGCGUGAUCGAAGUAUUCGGUGAUCAGUAUCUCCGAAAGCCUACCCCCGAAGAUUGCCG